GAUGAACGCUGGCGGCGUGCUUAACACAUGCAAGUCGAGCGAAAAGCUACAUGCAGACACUUCGGUAGAAGCGAGUAGCGGAAAGCGGCGGACGGGUGAGUAACGCGUAGGCAACCUGCCCUUCACAGAGGUAUAGCCUCGGGAAACCGGGAUUAAAACCACAUAAAAUCAUAGGUUCGCAUGAACCAAAGGUCAAAGAUUUAUCGGUGAAGGAUGGGCCUGCGUCUGAUUAGCUGGUUGGUAGGGUAAAAGCCUACCAAGGCGACGAUCAGUAUGCCGACCUGAGAGGGUGAUCGGCCACAUUGGAACUGAGACACGGUCCAAACUCCUACGGGAGGCAGCAGUGGGGGAUAUUGCACAAUGGGGGAAACCCUGAUGCAGCAACGCCGCGUGAGGUAUGAAGGCCUUUGGGUUGUAAGCCUCUGUCCUAGGGGAAGAAAAAAAUGACGGUACCCGAGGAGGAAGCCCCGGCUAACUACGUGCCAGCAGCCGCGGUAAUACGUAGGGGGCAAGCGUUAUCCGGAAUUAUUGGGCGUAAAGAGUGCGUAGGUGGAUCUACUAAGCGCGAGGUGAAAGGCAAUGGCUCAACCAUUGUUAGCCUUGCGAACUGGCAGACUUGAGUGCAAGAGAGGAAAGCGGAAUUCCUAGUGUAGCGGUGAAAUGCGCAGAUAUUAGGAGGAACACCGGCGGCGAAGGCGGCUUUCUGGAUUGUAACUGACACUGAGGCACGAAAGCGUGGGUAGCAAACAGGAUUAGAUACCCUGGUAGUCCACGCCGUAAACGAUGAGCACUAGGUGUCGGGACAUGAGUCUCGGUGCCGCAGUUAACGCAAUAAGUGCUCCGCCUGGGGAGUACGCACGCAAGUGUAAAACUCAAAGGAAUUGACGGGGACCCGCACAAGCAGCGGAGCAUGUGGUUUAAUUCGAAGCAACGCGAAGAACCUUACAAGACUUGACAUCCCUCUGACGUACCCUUAAUCGGGUAUUUCUUCGGACAGAGGAGACAGGUGGUGCAUGGUUGUCGUCAGCUCGUGUCGUGAGAUGUUGGGUUAGUCCGCACGAGCGCACCCUGUCUAGUGCAUG
rnacentral:rRNA from 1 species